AGUGAACGCUGGCGGCGUGCCUAAUACAUGCAAGUCGAACGGAGUGGCGCACGGGUGAGUAAUAUAUAGCUAAUCUGCCCCUUGCUGGAGGAAAACAGUUAGAACUGACUGCUAAUACUCCAUAGCAAGGGAUGAGACUAUAUCGUAUCAGCUAGUAGGUGGGGUAACGGCCGACCGAGGCUAUGACGAGUAACUGGGCUGAGAGGAUGAGCAGUCACAUUUGAACUGAGGCACGGUCCAAAGUCCUACGGGAGGCGGCAGUAGGUAAUCUUGCGCAAUGGGGGCAACCCUUACGCAGCAACGCCGCGUGGAGUAUGACACUUGUCGGAGCGUAAACUCCUUUUGUUAGGUAAGCGGUACCUAACGAAUAAGCACCGGCUAACUCCGUGCCAGCAGCCGCGGUAAUAC
rnacentral:rRNA from 1 species